UCAUACAUGUGGUGGAACAAGACAGGAUCAAAGGCAAACAGAAAAAAAUAGGGAGGAUUUGCUGCACUGACAUGGGAAAACUGGGCCCUAGAAGGAAUCCCAGCUACUUCCCUUGAUAACAGUUUCUGUUUAAAAUCUCAGGCCUAGGUUCUGUUCUCAUUUACAGACAGAAGAUGCCAUGGUCUUUAAUGAGAUUGCUCCAGUUACUCCAGAGAGCAUUUGGCUCUUUGCUCUUUACAUGGCUCAUGCCUCUCAAAUUUAAAUCUUCUAGCACCAGUAUUAUAGGACUUUUAUGAGGGGGGAGGUUCCACAGUUCCUCAAAAGCAGGCUAUUGCUGGUUUUACUCUUUUCCCUUCAUGAUUUCCAGUUUCUGCUGUGCAUUGGAAGCAAUUACUUUAGAGGCAGAGUGGAUGUGGAUGGGAAUGGUGGGUGCAUAGGCUUGGCAUAAAAAGGCUGUCCCCUGGAGGCAGCUUGGAGCCUUUCUAUUUACUAUAGGCAGCAGCAGGAGCCUCAAAAGGACCGAGACAAAGGUGAGCUGCUUAGAGACAGAUGGGGGAAGAGGAAAGCAGCUGCCCUUUGAUCAUGGACCUACCCACUGGUGUUCUUCAUCCACCCUGGAUUUCCCCUACACCCUGAAACCUUCAGCAGAAGUGAAAUGUGUUUCCUGAACCAAGGUGAAGAGCCCCCUAUUCUAAUCAGAGAGGCAGUAUGUUGUGGCCAGUUGCCAAACAGCCAGCUCCUGCGGCUGUGGCACCAUCAAGAGGCUGGAAAUUCUGGAGGCCAUGGAGAGAGCAGAGGAAGAAAGAAGAGAGAACGUAAGAUCGGCAUGAGCAAGAGAGUGGUGGUCAAGAGGGAAUGGGGAUGAUGCUGGAAAAGAGCGGGAGAGGAGAGGAGAUGUUAUUUUACAAAGAAACUGAAAAGGCCAAAGAAGGAGGGAGACUUUUAAAAAAACACACCAGAAAAUAGAAUGAAAUUAAAAGAAGGACAUGGAGAUGGAUAGAGCAAGUCAGAGGUGGAAGAAGAGACAAAUGGGAUAUAGAAAUGGGAGAAGGCAGGAAAAGCAAGGAGAGAUACAUGCUGCUUUUAGCAAUAACAUGGAAAUCCCCAUGUGAAGCAUGGAAUGGACUGGGAAAAGAUGAUAUCUGCUCUGAAAUUAGAAGACAAUUCCUGCCCUGAUGGGCAGGUAGCGAUUGAUCUAUCGGGGAUUGCUUUCCCGUUGACUGCUGAACUCCAGUUCCAUGAGAAGCGGAAGCAAAGUC